rnacentral:rRNA from 1 species
UACGGAGGAGGCAAGCGUUAUCCGGAAUUAUUGGGCGUAAAGCGUCCGCAGGUGGCACCUCAAGUCUGCUGUCAAAGACCGGGGCUUAACCCCAGAAAGGCAGUGGAAACUGAAGCGCUAGAGUGCAGUAGGGGUAGAGGGAAUUCCCGGUGUAGCGGUGAAAUGCGUAGAGAUCGGGAAGAACAUCGGUGGCGAAAGCGCUCUACUGGACCGCAACUGACACUCAGGGACGAAAGCUAGGGGAGCGAAUGGG